rnacentral:rRNA from 1 species
UACGGGGGGCAAGCGUUGUUCGGAAUUACUGGGCGUAAAGGCUCGUAGGCGGCCAUCUAAGUCGGACGUGAAUCCCUCGGCUUAACCGGGAACUGCGUCCGAUACUGGAGGCUUGAGUGUGGAGAGGAUGCGGAAUUCCAGGUGUAGCGGUGAAUGCGUAGAUAUCAGGAGGAACACCGGUGGUGUAGACGGCUUCUGGACCGUAACUGACGCUGAGACACGAAGCGUGGUAGCAACAGG